UUCACUGGGUGCUUUGCCUUAAGUUGUGUA
rnacentral:piRNA from 1 species